CCCUGUCAGUGCCAUCGAGGAAGCUUCUUGUGAAGACUUGCAUUGGGGAUUUGGUGGAGAGGUGUGGUUAUUACCCUCUUAGUGCAGAGAAGCUGACUGUAGCAAAAAGCAUCAUCACCACUUUUCCAUCCCUGAGUGUCCGAGUGGCAGGACAGGGGGAAGGAUUUGAGCAUUGUUAUGAUCCAGUCUCUCAUUGUGGAUUCCUAGAGACUAAACUGUGCAACCUUAGAUUGAAUCUCGACCAGGGGCAGAGACGUUAUAAGAAGCGAAAAGUGACAGAUGACUGUGGUGAAGACAAGAAGCUCAGGCGAGAGGAUGGGAAUACCAGCAGCACAGAUGAGUGGGUCACCCUGAUCAAAAGAUUGCGGCCCUCAGCUGAGAACCUUCCAACUAUCAUGUCAGGCAUGGAGGAAACAUACACCAGUGGCAGAGCCUGGAUUAGCAAGGACUCCCCCACUGCUGCUGAAAUAUUCAGAGAGUACCCACAGUUUUUGGACAUGCCAAGUCUGCUGGACUUGGAGUUUGGCAAGCUUACAGGAGGAAGGACGGAUCUGUUUUUAUGAAAAUGGGAAGCCAGUAUCAUUCCGAAACUCAAAUCAGUGGCUGCCCUGGAAACAAGAAUGUCCUCUCUGUUGAAGGAUUUUGAAGAGAAGACUGAAGAUGAGGCUUGUUACACUGCCCUUGUGGUGUUAACACACCUGCU
ensembl:lncRNA